UACGUAGGGUGCGAGCGUUGUUCGGAAUUACCGGGCGUAAAGGGCGCGUAGGCGGCCCGCUAAGUCGAACGUGAAAUCCCCAGGCUCAACCUGGGAACUGCGUCCGAUACUGGCAGGCUUGAAUCCGGGAGAGGGAUGUGGAAUUCCAGGUGUAGCGGUGAAAUGCGUAGAUAUCUGGAGGAACACCGGUGGCGAAGGCGGCAUCCUGGACCGGUAUUGACGCUGAGGCGCGAAAGCUAGGGGAGCAAACGGG
rnacentral:rRNA from 1 species